AUGGCUUUUUUUUUUUUUUUGAAGACUCAUUCCUACAUUUGGCAGGAGGAGAACUGGAAAACUUUAGACCUCUUCCAUAAAAUCUCAAAUAAUCCUUUGACUCCAGGUUGUUGGUUUUGUGUGAUGAAAAUCUAUAGAAAGGAGAAGUGGCGUUUCCACACGCUUCUAGUUCCUGGCUUACGUAGCUCUUCGGGGACCGUAGAGCUCCUUGUUCCAGGAGGAAUGUAAGCACCGAAUGUAAAUGCUGGAUGAAAUCAAUCUUGGCCCCAGGUGGGAGUCGUGUGGGCAGGCAUGCUGCUGCAGCUGAAGCUUCCAGUGCAUCUGCUAAGUGGGAUUCCAGAUCCUUUGUUCGGGGCCAAUCCCGAAUGCUGACUGCCAGUUUUUAAAGCUAUGUAGACAAAUAGUCAGAACUGAAUGGAAAAGAUGAAUUAGAUCACCCUCCCCGUUUCCGUGGCAGGUAUGUUUGCCUCUGCUUUCAGCAGUGCUUUCUCAGGCUGUCUGAAGCCAUCGUAAGGCCAGGGCGUAGGAAAGGCACAGACAUAUUCAGUAUAAAAACCCAAAUACUCAUGUCUUAAACGGUUUUCCUGCAGACCUCCUGAUGUUCCCCCAAAAGGAGUUGAUGCAUAGAGCUCGAAUCCAGGAGGAUGAAGAGCUUACUUCUGCUGAUUUACGGGUUUGAAAGUGAAGUGAUCGUGCUGUUGCAGCAAGGGACUCUCCCUUUCCUGUGGAGAAACCAACUGGUGAAUGUUAAAACACACCUAGCGUGCAGUGAGUCACUCUGUGGACUUUGGAAUGACUGAUUUCAACUUGAAGCAGUCGAGGAGCCUUAACGCCAAUUUACUAGGUGAUUAAAACGGGCGGUCAUUUGUGAGUACACGCAUCACUGAAAGGGCUGAGCCUACGCUGAUGGUGGGUGAUGUCAAACGGCCUGGAACACCCAAUAUUUGGGCUGCUUACACUUGCAGGUGAUAAUUAUCUUAAGGGAAUUAUACUGGGCUGAGUCUUGUCACCAGCUUCUCAGCUUUAUUUUUUUUGACUGCAGUUGGUAGAAACCAGGCCCCUGUGUGCUGCUUGUAGGUGGCUUUCCGCAAACUGGAUGGGCUUUGAGAAAUGCCUCAGACUGGAGGAUUUUUCCAGGUAUUUUGUACGUUGCAGACCUGGCUGAAUUUAUGUAGUGUCACACACUUUACAUGGCGUGUCUGCUGGCCUCAAGCUGCUUGUCUUCCAGCUGGGACUGAGUGUGAUGUUGAAUCCAUGUUCAGAGUGGUGAGUUAACCUGCUAAAAAAACAAGUGGUGUUGACGUGCACUCUGCACAUGAGAUGCUUUUUUAAGGUACCUAGCAUAAAAAAUAGAUUUUUUUUUGAAGCAGUUUCUUCACUGGCAUGUGACCAUUGGGCCUCUGCUGUUACAGGCAAGUACACCACAAAGUAAUGAGAUCCUUGCUCUCACCUGUGUAACAUCUGUUCAAUACUUGCAAUAAAUGAAAGCUUAAAAUAAAGAAAAUUCAAUGUCAGCUUGGGAAGAGAAGGAGAAUGCCUUGGAAGCACUAAUAAACUGAAUCUAGGCUCUGAAAGACCUCCGAAAAUAGGUGCUUGGGGGUGGGAGCACCUCUGCUGGCAGAGCUGAAGAGUGUUUGGACAGCAGAGAAGCUGUGAGCAGCUGAAGCUGGUCUCUUUUUAUUCCAUGGGGUUGAACUUCUUCCAUCAUGGUGUUGGGUUAGGAAGGAGGAAUAACAAAUUUUUAACAGUAUACGCACAGAUACUGAUUAGUUUCUUUUUCUGACAAAGAGAUUGCCCAAUUCUAUUGGAUUUUUCUUUUCUUUUAACGCUUUUUUUUGUAUCAUACUAGUCAAAGCCUAGCACAGAAUUAAUAUUAAAUUGCUAAAACCUGCAAAUAUAAAUUGCUUCCCCACAAACUAUUAUCACACUUACUUCUUAAGAACAACAUUUAUAAUCGUACACCCGAAAGAUGGCCGUGGAAUAAGUUUUAAAUAACUUGAAGUAAGAUGCAUGGGUGGAAGAAUGUUGCUGCAGUGGUUCUACUAGAAAAAUGGAGCUUUAUUUAAACUUUAUUCACAAACCCCUGUGCCAGGGUUUUGAACAUCAGCAGGCUUCUUCCUAAAGAUCAGGCAGCAACUUAAGCAGUUUAUUUUUAGAGGCAGAUUUUUGGGGAAUGUUGCUACUUAGGUUGUCUUUCUGAUGGAGCAAAAGCAAGGAGGUACCAUGCCAAGCUGUGAUAAAAGGCAGCGCAGAGCUCUCUGUUAAGUAACUUGGUGCUGGUGAUGUCAAUGCUUAUGACAGGCUUAGGUCAUGUCUCGGUGGUGGCAUCGGAAAUAUUUUGAGUUAGGAGUUUAGUUUACCACACUGAGAACUUCUGGAGGUGCCUGGGCACACCAUAACUUGAUAACUUUAGCUUGCUUUGAGAAAUAGACCUUAAACUACUUGUGAUCAGUAGCUAAUCUCUGGAGCUGAGCUGGUUCAUGUUCAUCCUCUGGUCCUGACCUGGGAAACGUGAAUAAUGCAGCUGUUAGGUAAUGCCAUUGGGAUGUGUGUGUAGAUUUAUAUUGAUGGGUUUCAGAAAGAAAAUCACAUAUUAGAUGAUUCAAGUGCUGGAGACAGUAAACGUUUCAAUUUAGUACACAAGAAUAUAUCUUCUAAAACUCAUCUUUGCUGUCAAGAUUGGUUAUAGCCAAGUAUGUGGGAAGAGAAGUACAGCUCAAAUAGCAGGAACUAUUUCUCUGCCACUUGAACACAGCACACAGUUAAGCUGUACAGAAGGUAUUUAGUGAGUGCUGAGGUUAACUUGAUGUCUCAGUCAGGCUUGCCUUUAAAAUAGACUUGGAUUUGGGGUGAGGUGAUGUUCCUGGAUAGAAGGCAACAGCAAACAUGUAGAAUGUGGCUGGUACACAAGUUGUAGGGCUGUGUGUAUGGUGCGUGUAAGGAAAGGCUGGCUGGGUGCACACACACAACAAAUAAUUAUGAAGGAGCUGUCUUCAGGGAGCUGCUUUGUCUAUCUCAGGUACUCCAAGUAGAGAUGCAGCUGGCAUAUUCCUUCAGGGCUUGCUUUUCACAAAGCUGGAGUGAUAAGGAAGUGAGGAGAGCAGAUGAACUCAGUGUUUCUGGCUCAGGUGAGUUGCAAUGGGCUGAUGCUGUGACACUGUUAACCAUUGUUACUGCUUAAAAAAAAAAAAAAGACAGUAUCAGUUGGAAAAGAGCAAAAAACUGGAGAAGGAUGGAAAAAUGCAACUGAAAUGUAAUCUUCUCUUGGCAUGUAAAGGAAUAAGCCCCCCAAUGGGGGGAGGGAAUGUCCCAAUGAAUUCCAGCUUUAAAGGGGGAAGAAGUGGGUUGUUGCCAGGUUCCUGGCUGGCUUCUUCAGGGAACUGUUCCAGGGACCAGUAGCUCAUGUUGCUGGUGUCUCUUGAAGAAAUAAACAAAGAAGGCACCCUUCUGUAGGAGGGAGAAGGAAUAUCAUCUAUGGGAAUGCAGUGAUAUUGGGAGGGAAAGUGUUAGCACGUUGCAAAGGUAGAAGUGAAUUCAGACAUGGAAGCAACACAAACGGGGAGGGAGAGGGGAGAUCUUGUCCCAGCACGAGAGGAGCAGCGUGCCACUUGAGAAGAACAGCUCAAUAUCAAGGAAGCAGCAGAUACCAGCAACAAAUUAUCACCAUGCAAACCUACUCCAGAGCAGUUGUGCUGAAAACAAACAGUCUGAUUUGAGAACAGACUUCAGAAUCCUGCUUCUUCGUGCUGCUCGUGGUUCUGAGUCGCUCAGCAGCAGGGCAGGCUGCUGGCAGACAGCUCAGGUGCAGCUCGAGCAUCCUGUGGCUUUUCAUGGAAGCAUCUAAGGUGUGCUUCACUUCAUAGAGCAGGUAACUGCUGGCUGGUCGAGCCUCGAUUUCGAAGGUGCAAAGAGCCAUCGCAGAUCUUAUGGUGGCAACUGUAUUUUGAUAGAUAACUUUCGAACCCACCCCAAAAUAAAAAGAUGGGCACAUCUGUUUU
rnacentral:lncRNA from 1 species